GUUGAGCUUGAGUUUGUGGCGUGUUUUAACCUGAAUUUUUGUUGUUUUUCUUACUUGAGGCUUCGGCAAUUGUUAAACUUUAGAUUUGGGUGUUGGUUGAACUUAAAACUUUGACAUUUGUUGAACUUAUGUAUGUGGUGUUCAUUGAACUUCAGUUUGUGUCUUGUUUGAACUUGACUUUGUGGUGUUUUUGAACUUGAGUUGGUGGAAAUUGUUGAACUUGAGAAUUGGGUGUUGGUUGAACUUGAGUUUCUGGUGUUUUUGAACUUGAGUUUGAGUUUGUUUGUUUGUUGAACUUGAGUUCGUGGCGCGUUUGAACUUGAGUUUGUGUUCUUUUUGAACUUGAGGUUGUGGAAAUUGUUAAACUCGCCCUCCUCGAGCCAUCAUGAAGGCGGAGGUGGCGGGGGUAGAGCAGCAAUGAACAAAACCCCCCUGGAACAGGAGCGCUUUAAGGACAGCGGAGCAAUUAGCUGGCACGAGGGUGGAGCUGGUGUGGCAGUGUGUUGCUGGUUUGCUGUCAGAGCAGAGGAAGAGGCUGGGUUAGUGCAGUUUUAAAUAAGGCACUCUAUAGGCAAAGAACCAAUAGGAUCUAGGUGUGAAUCAGCUGAUUAUCAUCUGGUUGAGGUGGCUACUAGCCAUUGGCUGUGGAUCAGCGCUUGACGUUGUGUCCUGACAGAACUAACGCUAUGCUUCAUUUCAGUCAGGUACACUUUGUCCAAAUUUUUAGCUUUAUUGUGCAAGUUAGAUUUGGCGGCAUGAUUCUGUUCCGGGUCCCUGCCCUUCCACGCGCUUGUGUGGAAGCCCAAGGCAGGAAGAGCCCCUUCCUGCCUUUCACGAGCCAUCAUGAAAGGCGAUAGCAGGGAGCGCACGCGAGGUUCUGUUCAGGGCCCCCGUUCUCCACGUUGGCAGGGGUGAAAGGCCAGCGGCAGGAAGAGCACCUUCCCGCCCUCCACGUGCCAUCAUGAAGGCGGAGGAGGCAGGGGUAGAGCAGCAAUGAACAGAACCCCCCCAAAACAACCAUGCCGUGCAGUCUAGGAGCUAGCAGGGGAGGUGAGCGCUGCUGAAAGAAAGACGGGUUAGAGAGACCCGUUGCCCAAGCAUGGAUAUUUAUCUGCAGGUUGUUUAUAUAUUUCAUUUAAUUAGCAUCUAUGUGCCAAAGUUAUGGGUACUCAUAGUUUUUGGGCUUCGAGAAUGUCCCGAGCCUCGGGGCGCAGAUAGCGUUUGUACGCAGCUGACGACUAUUGGCCCAUGGCUUUGAGGGUCGACACAGGAGCCGUCAUAGCUCCGGUUGUAGCUACACCUAUGUGAAAGGAAUGAGCCGUGUAGCGAUCUGAAGGAUGUGUGGAGGGCGAUCAGCUAAGCUGUCAUCUGACUGAGGGCUAGCUUAAGAUCAGCUGGCUUUAACCUUUAGCUUGACUGUACCUUGUGUCCUGCCUGAACUACAGCCAUGCUUAAUUUCAGUCAGGACUACUUUAGUUAGAAUCAAUUAUUUAUUACUAGCAAAAAUUUUUUUAACAUUGUCGGUAUGGCUCUGUUCUGAGAGUUCCCUGCUCUCUCAUGCGCUUGCAUAGAAUCCCAAGGCAAUGAGAGGGAAUGCCCUCCCCUCCCUUUCAUGUGCAUAUAUGAAAAGCCAAGGCAGAAAAAGCAGCAGCCAUACUGGCAACCCUCCCCAGCUUUCAUGAGCUACAUGAAGGCACCUACAGGGGAGGGAGGGCAGCCAGCAGCGAGAAACUAUGAAGCAACCUACCCACCUACAAAGCUUGCAUAGUAUUGGUUACCCUCACAACAUGAUCAUGGAUCAGGAUUAAUUUAAUCCAUACACAAAUUUAUAGUUGGGAAUAUGCGUAAUGCAAUAGAUAUGGGAAAGAAUUAAGGAGCAGCAGCAAUUUUUUUUUUGUAGCUAAUCGAGCAUAGGAAUAUUCUAAUAAUAAUAAUAUAUUAGCCUUGGGCCUGAGGUAUCAUUCAAAGGCUGAUCGGGACCAUUGACCCGUAGCCUUGAGCGUCGAGACGGGGACGAUGGAAGAUGCAGUUGUAGCUGUGCCUAUGCGUGGUGAAUGCGUAGAGUUGUACUCAGGUAGGAGCCAACAGGAUUGGCAGAGCAGGCAGAGGUGAGCAGAAAGCUGCAAUCUGGAUAUAGGUUUCCCUUCUUCAGUGGCAAAGAGAGACUCUUGCUGGCUGGCCAGUGGCCGGCCUCUCAGGCAGCGGGACAUGGAGGAUAAAGAACAAAGACAGAGUUAGUUUUGGAAAUAUUAGAAAAAAAAAGAAAAGUGCGAGAUUCAAAACUGUGGACUAUUAAAGCACAUACAAUGGAUAUAUUUAGGGCGUUGGGGCUACAGAGAAGGUGGUACAAAAGAGGUAAAGUGAGACCAUGCAGAAUCGUAUAAACUUUAAUGCUGAUUUUGCUUAACCAGCUCUCAAGUAGCUGUCAACAGAGAGCACUAAGGAUUGCAAGGCUGCACUCAGACUAACACAGUCUGAAUGAAUGGCUUCACGAACAGCCGUUGGGAUGCUUUGCCAGUGCCUUCCCCGGCUCAAGGACAUUUGACAGAGUAGACAGCUUUGUUCUUUCCCGUUUUACCAGGUGGGUGCGUCAUGGGCAUGCUGAUUUCAGAUGCCCGUCCCUGGAGUAACUUGGCUUCUCCGAGUAGUAGGCUUAGAGAGGCUUGGGUGGUUGGCAUGUAGCCACAGUUUUAGGGCACCGAUUAGAGGUGUGGGCAGGGGUGGACAAGGUAGGAUAAGGUUCCUCCAGGUACUGUACCCGUAGACUUUGUACAAGAGGAGCACACCCAAGUUAAGCGAGUUGCUGACUCCGAUGCCACAGUAUCAUCAUCUGCUGUAUCUCUCUCUUAAACAUAAAAUUAUUAUUAUUAUUAUUAUUAUUAUUAUUAUUUUCCUCUGCAUUUUGUCUUAUUUCUGCAUUAAGAUUGAAGCAGCUGACUCUUUAAAAGUUCCCUCCUUCUGCAAAAGGCGGAAGGCGGGCCCCUGCACCUAGGCAACCAGCGUCCAAUCAAAAGUGCGCACUGGUGCUCCCACUUGGAGUUUAUUUGUAAGCAAAUACCACUCACUCUCAAGCGGCAUGGUCCUAUUGGAUUACUUCGGUUAUAACGCAGAGUGCAGACUGAUGUGCAGCAACAGACUAAGCCUAGAUACAUGACAGGGGUGAAAACUUUAAACAGCUGAUUAUGUCUUCCCGAAAUGGCGUACUGCUGCGUAAUGGCUUACUUUCACCUCCAGGUGAGAGAAAGACCCGCAGAUUAAGCAGGAAAAAGCUUGAUGCUCGGUGAAUUGUUAACUGAUUAGAGCCAGGUCGACUACGGACUGAUCAAGUCUUUGGCUGAAUCUUUGAAUGUACUUAGCAGCUUUGCUGAAAAUGAUUUGUAAUGUUCCUAGAAUAAUGAUCCUCCCUAUGUCAUGGCUGAAUCAGAAAUAAUGGCGAGAUAUGUGUCCAGUUCAGUUCUGCGUGCUGAAAACACUUUACAUAUGACAUCUACAAAUACGCUGAAAGCUAUGAAUUCAGCCAAGGUCGGAGAUUUAAACAGCCGGGCAUCACGAUAUUUAAGCAUCACAGGCUCAUCUCCGCAAUCCACAAUGCGUCUAUCAUUGUAGUCUGAGCACAGCAAGACUAAUGUCAGUACCUGCAAGGAUUUGGCUCCGCGGAUUAGGUGUAAUUGCAGCCGCGACCAGGUCGCGUCGCGUGGUGCUCUGGUGUGUUCACACCGGGUCCAAAGCUGCGGUCGCAGGACACGGCUGGUCGCUGCUGACCCGCUUCUCCUACCUUCCAUCUCCCUCCUUUUCUCCCUCAUAUAUACAUCCCGCAGCCCAGUUCAAAUAUUUGAACUUUGGUAGCGACGAGACUUGGCGUCCUGCGAACGCGGAAACGCAACUUCGGCAACGCAACUUCGGCAACGCGACGCAGGUAGCCAGCGGUCGCCAAGUCGCGUCAGGUCGCGGCUGUCCAUAGACUUUGCAUUGGGAGCCAUCGCCGACGUCACCGAAGUCGCGUUUGGUCUGAACACCCCUUAACGCUAAGCUUCAUAUUUGGGUAUUGGUUGACUUGAGUUUCUGUGUUUGUUGAACUUGAGUUUGUGACAUGUUUGAACUUGAAUUUGUGGUGUUUUUGAACUUGAGUUUGUGUGUUUGUUGAACUUGAGUUUUAGGCGUGUUUGAACUUGAGUUUGUGUUGUUUUUGAACUUGAGGUUUUGGCAAAUGUUAAACUUGAGAUUUGGGUGUUGGUUGAACUUGAGUUUGUGUCGUAAUUGAACUUGAUUUUUUUGCAAUUUUUGAACUUGAGUUUGUUGAACUUGAGGUUGUGGAAAUUGUUAAACUUGAGAAUUGGGUAUUGAUUGAACUUGAGUUUGUGUGUUUGUUGAACUUCAGUUUGUCUCGUGUUUGAACUUGAGUUUCUGUUGUUUUUGAACUUGAGGUUGUGGCAAUUGUUAAACUUGAGAUUUGGGUGUUGGUUGAACUUGAGUUUGUGUCAUGUUUGAACUUGAGUUUGUGGUGUUUUUGAACUUGAGUAUGUGUGGUUUUUUAACUUAGUUUUGUGGCAAUUGUUAAACUUGAGAUUUGGGUGUUGGUUGAACUUGGGUUUGUGGUGUUUUUGAACUUGAGUUUGUGUCUUUGUUGAACUUGAGUUUGUGGCGUGUUUUAACUUGAGUUUCUGUUGUUUUUGAACUUGAGGUUGUGGCAAUUGUUGAACUUGAGAUUUGGGUGUUGGUUGAACUUGAGUUUGUGUGGUUUUUUAACUUAGUUUUGUGGCAAUUGUUAAACUUGAGAUUUGGGUGUUGGUUGAACUUGGGUUUGUGGUGUUUUUGAACUUGAGGGUGUGGAAUAUGUUAUAUUGAGAAAUUGGUAUUGGUUGAACUUGAGUUUUUGGUGUUUUUGAACUUGAGUUUUUGGAAAUUGUUAAACUUGAGAAUCAGGUGUUUGAUGAACUUGAGUUAGUGUUUGUUGAACUUGAGUUUGUGUCGUGUUGGAACUUUGUCUCGUGUUGUUUUUUGAAUUGAGUUUGUGUGUUUUUUGAACUUGAGGUUGUGAAAAUUUUUAAACUUGAGAAUCAGGUAAUGGUUGAACUUGAGUUUGUGGUUUUUGUUGAACAUGAGUUUGUCUCGUUUUUGAACUUGAUUUUUGGUGUUUUUGAACUUGAGCAUGUGUUGUUUUUGAACUUGAGAUUGUGGAAAUUGUUAAACUUGAGAAUUGGGUAUUGGUUGAACUUGAUUUUUUUGUGUUUUGAACUUGAGUUUGUGUCGUGUUUGAACUUGAGUUUGUAGCGUGUUUGACCAUGAGUUUGUGUUGUUUUUGAACUUGAGUUUUUGUGUUCGUUGAACUUGAGUGUGUUUCAUGUUUGAGCUUGAGAUUGUGGUGUUUUUGAACUUGAGUUAGUGUGUUUGUUGAACUUGAUUUUGUGUUGUGUUUGAACUUUAGUUUGUGGCGUUUUUUGAGCUUGAUUUUGUGUCGUGUUUGAACUUGAGUUUGUUGGUUUUUUUGAACUUGAGUUUGUGUCGUGUUUGAACUUGAGAUUGUGUGUGUUUUGAACUUGAGUUUGUGUGGUUUUUGAACUUGAGUUUGUUUCGUGUUUGAACUUGAGUUUGUGGCGUUUGUUGAAUUUGAGUUUGUGUCAUGUUUGAACUUGAGUUUGUGGUGUUUUUGAACUUGAAUUUGCCUGUUUGGUUAACUUGAGUUUCUGUUGUUUUUGAACUUGAGGUUGUGGAAAUUGUUAAACUUGAGAAUCAGGUGUUGGUUGAACUUGAGUUUGUGUGUUUGUUGAACUUGAGUUUUUGGUGUUUUUGAACUUGAGGUUGUUGAAAUUGUUAAACUUGAGAAUUGGGUAUUGGUUGAACUUGAGUUUGUGAUUUUGUUGAACUUGAGUUUGGUUCGUGUUUUAACUUGAGUUUGUGAUGUUUUUGAAUUUGAGUUUGUGGUGUUUUUGAACUUGAGUUUGUGUUGUGUUUGAACUUGAGUUUGUGGUGUUUUUGAACUUGAGUUUGUGUGUUGGUUGAACUUGAGUUGCGUGUUUGGUGAACUUGAGUUUUUGUGUUUUUUGAACUUGAAUUUCUGUUGUUUUUGUACUUGAGGUUCUGGAAAAAAUUUAAACUUGAGAAUCAGGUGUUGGUUGAACUUGAGUUAGUGUGUUUGUAGAACUUGAGUUUUUUGUCGUGUUUGAACUUGAGUUUGUGGUGUUUUUGAACUUGAGGUUUUGUGUUUGUUGAACUUGAGUUUGUUUUGUGUUUGAACUUGAGAUUGUGGUGUUUUUGAACUUGAGUUAGUGUGUUUGUUGAACUUGAGUUUGUUUUUUGUUUGAUCUUUCGUUUGUGGCGUUUGUUGAGCUUUAUUUUGUGUCGUGUUGGAACUAGAGUUUGUGGUUUUUGUUGAACUUGAGUUUGUGUCGUGUUUGAACUUGAGUUUGUUUCGUGUUUGAACUUGAGUUUGUGGCGUUUGUUGAAUUUGAGUUUUUGUCAUGUUUGAACUUGAGUUUGUGGUGUUUUUGAACUUGAAUUUGGGUGUUUGGUUAACUUGGGUUUUUGUGUUUUUUGAACUUAGGUUUCUGUUGUUUUUGAACUUGAGGUUGUGGAAAUUGUUAAACUUGAGAUCAGGUGUUGGUUGAACUUGAGAUUUGUGUUUUUUUGAACUUGAGUUUGUGGUUUGUUAAACUUGAGAUUGGUGUUGGUUGAACUUGAGAUUGUGCGUUUUUUGAACUUCAGUUUGUAUCGUGUUUUAACUUGAGUUUGUGUGUUUGUUGAACUUGAGAAUUGGGUAUUGGUUGAACUUUAGUUUUUGAUUUUUUUGAACUUCAGUUUGUAUCGUGUUUUAACUUGAGUUUGUGUGUUUGUUGAACUUGAGUUUGUGUGUUUAUUGAACUUGAGUUUGUGUUGUGUUUGAACUUGAGUUUGUGGUGUUUUUGAAUUUAACGUUGUGGCAAUUUUUAAACUUCAGAUUUGGGAAUUGGUUGAACUUGAGUUAUGUGUUUGUUGAACUUGAGUUUGUGUCGUGUUUGAACGUGAGUUUGUUGUGUUUUUUAACUUGAGGUGGUUUCAUGUUUGAACUUGAGUUUGUUGCGUUUGUUGAACUUGAGUUUGUGGUGUUUGUUGAACUUGAGUUUGUGGUUUUUGUUGAACUUGAGUUUGUGUCGUGUUUGAACUUGAGUUUGUGUGUUUUUUAACUUGAGUUGUUUGUUUCGUGUUUGAACUUGAGUUUGUGGUGUUUGUUGAACUUGAGUUUGUGUGGUGUUUGAACUUGAGUUUGUGGUGUUUUACCACUUGAGUUUGUGGUGUUUUUGAACUUGAGUUUUUGUGUUUUGAACUUGAGUUUGUUUUGUGUUUGAACUUGAGAUUGUGGUGUUUUUGAACUUGAGUUAGUGUGUUUGUUGAACUUGAGUUUGUGUUGUUUGAACUUUAGUUUGUGGCAUUUGUUGAGCUUGAUUUUGUGUCGUGUUUGAACUUGAGUUUGUGGUUUUUGUUGAACUUGAGUUUGUGUCGGUUUGAACUAGAGUUUGUGUGUUUUUUGAACUUGAGUUUGUGUGGUUUUUGAACUUGAGUUUGUUUCGUGUUUGAACUUGAGUUUGUGGUGUUUUUGAACUUGAAUUUGCUUGUUUGGUUAACUUGAGUUUGUGUUUUUUGAACUUAGGUUUCUGUUGUUUUUGAACUUGAGGUUGUGGAAAUUGUUAAAUUUGAGAAUCAGGUGUUGGUUGAACUUGAGUUUGUGUCGUGUUUUUGAACUUGAGUUUUUGUCGUGUUUUUGAACUUGAGGGUGUGGAAUUUGUUAAACUUGAGAAUUGGGUAUUGGUUGAACUUAAGUUUGUGUGUUUGUUGAACUUGAGUUUGUGUCAUGUUUGAACUUGAGUUUGUGGUCUUUUUGAACUUGAGUUUGUGUGUUUGUUGAACUUGAGUUGUGGCGUUUGUUGAACUUAGGUUGUGGCAAUUGUUAAACUUAAGAUUUGGUUGUUGGUUGAACUUGAGUUUGUGUCGUGUUUGAACUUGAGUUCGUGUUGUUUGUUGAACUUGAAUUUGUGUGUUUUUUGAACUUAAUUUUUUUGAACUUGAGUUUGUGGCAAUUGUUGAACUUGAGUCUGUGGUUUUUGGUGAACUUUAAUUGGUGGCAAUUGUUGAACUUGAGUUUGUGGUGUAUUUGAACUUGAGUUUGUUUCGUGUUUGAACUUUGUUUGUGGUGUUUUUGAACUUGAGUUUUUGGUGUUUUUGAACUUGAGGGUGUGUUGUGUUUUUGAACUUGAGUUUGUGGUGUUUUUGAACUUGAGGUUGUUUCGUGUUUGAACUUGAGUUUGUGGCGUUUGUUGAACUCUAGGUUGUGGCAAUUGUUGAACUUGAGAUUUGGGUGUUGGUUCAACUUAAAAGUUUGGCAUUUGUUGAACUUGAGUUUGUGUGUUUGUUGAACUUAAGUUUGUGUCUUGUUUGAACUUGAGUUUGUGGUGUUUUCAAACUUGAGUUUGUGUGUUUUUUGAACUUUAGUUUUUGGUGUCUUUGAACUUGAGUUUGUGGUGUUUUUGAACUUGAGUUUGAAUCGUGGUUGAACUUGAGUUUGUGGUGUUUUUGAACUUAAGUUUGUGGUUUUUUUGAACUUGAGGUGUUGGAAAUUGUGAAACUUGAGAAUUGGGUAUUGGUUGAACUUGAGUUUGUGUGUUUGUUGAACAAGAGAUUGUGUUGUGUUUUAACUUCAGUUUGUGGAGUUUUUAAGCUUGAGGUUGUGCUGUUUUUGAACUUGAUUUUGUUGUGUUUUGUACUUGAGUUUGUGUUAUUUUUCAACUUGAGGUUGUGGAACUUGUUAAACUUGAGAAUCAGGUGUUGAUUGAACUUGAGUAUUUUUUUUUUAACUUGAGUUUGUGUCGUGUUUGAGCUCGAGUUUGUGGUGUUUUUGAAUUUGAGUUUGCGUGUUUGUUAAACUUGAGUUUGUGUUUUUUUUUAACUUGAGUUUGUUGUUUCUGAACUUGAGUUUGUGGCAAUUGUUGAACUUGAGUUUGACAUUUGUUGAACUUGGGUUUGUGGUUUUUGUUGAACUUGAGUUUGUGGUGUUUUUGAACUUGAGGUUGUGGAAUUUGUUAAACUUGAGAAUUUGGUAUUGGUUGAACUUGAGUUUGUGUGUUUGUUGAACUUGAGUUUGUGUCGUGUUUGAACUUUGGUUUGUGGUGUUUUUUUGAGCCUGAGGUUGUGGUGUUUUUGAACUUGAGUUUGUGUUGCUUUUGAACUUUAGGUUGUGGCAAUUUCUAAAAUUGAGAUUUGGGUGUUGGUUGAACUUAAAAGUUUUUCAUUUGUUGAACUUGAGUUUGUGGUUUUUGUUGAACUUGAGUUUGUUUCGUGUUUGAACUUGAGGUUGUGGUGUUUUUGAACUUGAGGUUUCUUGUUUGUUUAACUUGAGUUUGUGUGUUUUUUGAACUUGAGUUUGUUGUUUCUGAACUUGAGGUUUUGGCAAUUGUUGAACUUGAGUCUGUGGUUUUUAGUGAACUUUAGUUGGUUGCAAUUGUUGAACAUGAGUUUAUGGCGUUUGUUGAACUUGAGUUUGUGACGUGUUUGAACUUGAGGUUGUGGUGUUUUUGAACUCGAGUUUUUGUGUUUGUUGAACUUCAGUUUUUGGCGUGUUUGAACUUGAGUUUGUGGUUUUUUUAACUUGAGGUUGUGGUUUUUUGAACUUAAGUUUGUGGAAAUUUUUAAACUUGAGGAUUGGGUGGUGGUUGAACUUGAGUUUGUGGUGUUUUUUGAACUUGAGGUUGUGGUGUUUUUGACUUGAGUUCGUAGCGUGUUUGAACUUGAGGUUGUUGCAAUUGUUAAACUUGAGAUUUGGGUGUUGGUUGAACUUAAAACUUUGCCAUUUGUUGAACUUGAGUUUGUGGUGUAUGUUGAACUCCAGCUUGUGUUGUGUUUGAACUUGAGGUUGUGGUAUUUUUUAAUUGAGUUUGUGGCAGUUUUUGAACUUGAGGUUGUGAAAAUUGUUAAAACUUGAGAAUCAGGUGUUGGUUGAACUUGAGUUUGUGGUUUUUUUGAACUUGAGUUUGUGGUUUUUGUUGAACUUGAGUUUAUGUCGUUUUUGAGCUUGAGGUUGUGGUGUUUUUAAACUUGAGUUUGCGUGUUUGUUGAUCUUGAGUUUGUGUGUUUUUUGAACUUGAGUUUCUUGUUUCUGAACUUGAGGUUUUGGCAAUUAUUGAACUUGAGUCUGUUGUUUUUAGUGAACUUUAGUUGGUGGCAAUUGUUGAACUUGAGUUUGUGGCAUUUGUUAAACUUGAGUUUGUGACGUGUUUAAACAUGAUUUUGUGGUGUUUUUGAACUCGAGUUGUUGGUGUUUUUGAACUUGAGGUUGUGGAAAUUGUUAAACUUGAGAAUUGGGUAUUGGUUGAACUUGAGUUUGUGUGUUUGUUGAACUUGAGUUUUUGUCGUGUUUGAACUUGAGUUUGUGGUGUUUUUGAACUUGAGUUUGGUGUUUUUGAACUUGAGUUUGUGGCGGUUUUUGAACUUGAGGUUGUGGCAAUUGUUGAACUUGAGUUUGUGACGUGUUUGAACUUGAUUUUGUGGUGUUUUUGAACUUGAGUUCGUGGUGUUUGUGGAAUUUGAGUUUGUGUCGUGUUUGAACUUGAGGUUGUGGUGUUUUUGAACUCGAGUUUUUGUGUUUGUUGAACUUCAGUUUGUGUCCAGUUUUAACUUGAGUUUGUGGCAUUUGUUAAACUUGAGUUUGUGACGUGUUUAAACAUGAUUUUGUGGUGUUUUUGAACUCGAGUUUGUGGUGUUUUUGAACUUGAGGUUGUGGAAAAACGUAAACUUGAGAUUUGGGUGUUGAUUGAACUUGAGUUUGUUUCGUGUUUGAUCUUGAGGUUGUGGUGUUUUUGAACUUGAGGUUUCUUGUUUGUUUAACUUGAGUUUGUGUGUUUUUUGAACUUGAGUUUGUUGUUUCUGAACUUGAGGUUUUGGCAAUUGUUGAACUUGAUAAUUGGGUAUUGGUUGAACUUGAGUUUGUGUGUUUGUUGAACUUGAGUUUGUGUCGUGUUUGAACUUCAGUUUGUGGUGUUUUUUGAACUUGAGGUUGUGGUGUUUUUGAACUUGAGUUUUUGGUGUUUUUGAACUUGAGGUUGUGGCAAUUGUUGAACUUGAGUGUGUGACGUGUUUGAACUUGAUUUUGUGGUGUUUUUGAACUCGAGUUUGUGUUGUUUUUGAACUUGAGUUUGUGGUGUUUGUUGAACUUGAGUUUGUGGUGUUUUUGAACUCGAGUUUUUGUGUUUGUUGAACUUCAGUUUGUGUCGUGUUUGAACUUGAGUUUGUGGUGUUUUUUGAACUUGAGGUUGUGGUGUUUUUGAACUUGAGUUUGUGGCGGUUUUUGAACUUGAGGUUGUUGCAAUUGUUGAACUUGAAAUAAAAACCCAAAUAUGAACCCAAAUAUAUAUUUUUUCUUUUUACAUUUUUUUUGGUGUAACCAACUCCAAAAGGUCUUAAACAUGUUCCUAAAAAUGUUUUGGACAGUGAUAUUAAACCUAACGCCAAAAACCUUAAACCUUACCCUAGCCCCAUAACCUAAUACACGGGUAUUACCUUCAGGAAGCCCAAAAACCCCAAAUAUUUUUUUUUCAUUUUUCAUUUUUUUUUGGUCUAACUAACUCCAAAAGGUUGGAAAAGAGGUCCUACAAAGGUUUUGGACAGUGAUUUUAACCCUCACGCCAAAAACCUUAAACCUUACUAUAGCCCCAUAAACUAAUACCCGGGUAUUACCUUCAGAAGCCCAAAAACCCCAAAUAUUUUUUUUUUAUUUUUCGUUAGUUUUUGCUCUAACUAACUCCAAAAGGUUGGAAAAGAGUUCCUACAAAGGUCUUGGACAGUGAUUUUAACCCUAACGCCAAAAACCUUAAACCUUACCCUAGCCCCAAAACCUAAUACCCGGGUAUUACCUUCAGAAGCCCAAAAACCCCAAAUAUUUUUUUUUUAUUUUUCGUUAGUUUUUGCUCUAACUAACUCCAAAAGGUUGGAAAAGAGUUCCUACAAAGGUUUUGGACAGUGAUUUUAACCCUAACACCAAAAACCUUAAACCUUACCCUAGCCCCAUAACCUUCAGGAAGCCCGAACACCCCAAAUAUUUUUUUUUUCAUUUUACAUUUUUUUUUGGUGUAACCAACUCCAAAAGGUCUUAAACAUGUUCCUAAAAAGGUUUUGGACACUGAUUUUAACUCUAACGCCAAAAACCUUAAACCUUACCCUAGCCCCAUAACCUAAUACCCAGGUAUUACCUUCAGGAAACCCGAACACCCCAAAUAUAUUUUUUUUCUUUUUCUUUUUUUUUUUGUCUUACUAACUCCCAAAGGUCUGAAACAUGUUCCUUAAAAAAUAUUGGACAGUUAUUUUAACCCUAACGCCAAAAACCUUAAACCUUACCCCCAGCCCCAUAACCUAAUACCCGGGUAUUACCUUCAGGAAGCCCGAACACCCCAAAUAUAUAUUUUUUAUUUUUCUUUUUGUUUUGGUUUAACUUGCUCUCAAAGGUUGGAAAAGAGUUCCUACAAAGGUUUGGGACAUUGAUUUUAACCCUAACGCCAAAAACCUUAAACCUUACCUUAGCCCCAUAACCUAAUACCCAGGUAUUACCUUCAGGAAACCCGAACACCCCAAAUAUAUUUUUUUUCUUUUUCUUUUUUUUUUGUCUUACUAACUCCCAAAGGUCUGAAACAUGUUCCUUAAAAAAUAUUGGACAGUUAUUUUAACCCUAACGCCAAAAACCUUAAACCUAACCCUAGCCCCUUAACCUCAUACCCGGGUAUUACCUUCAGGAAGCCCGAACACCCCAAAUAUUUUUUUUUCAUUUAUCUAAUUUUUUUUGUCUAACUUAUUCCCAAAGGUUGGAAAAGAGUUCCUACAAAGGUUUUGGACAGUGAUUUUUACCCUCACGCCGAAAAACCUUAAACCUUUCCCUAGCCCCAUAACCUAAUACCCGGGUAUUACCUUCAGGAAGCCCGAACAACCCAAAUAUAUAUUUUUUACUUUUCUUUUUGUUUUGGUCUAACUUGCUCUCAAAGGUUGGAAAAGAGUUCCUACAAAGGUUUUGGACAUUGAUUGUAACCCUAACGCCAAAAACCUUAAACAUUACCCUAGCCCAGAAACCUAGUAUUACCUUCAGGAAGCCCGAAGACCCCAAAUAUAUUUUUUUCUUUUUUCUUUUUUUUUGGUCUAACUAACUCCAAAAGGUUGGAAAAGAGUUCCUACAAGGGUUUUGGACGGUGAUUUUAACCCUAACACCAAAAACCUUAAACCUUACCCUAGCCCCAAAACCUAAUACCCGGGUAUUACCUUCAGGAAGCCCGAACACCCCAAAUAUUUUUUUUUUCAUUUUACAUUUUUUUUGGUGUAACCAACUCCAAAAGGUCUUAAACAUGUUCCUAAAAAGGUUUUGGACACUGAUUUUAACUCUAACGCCAAAAACCUUAAACCUUACCCUAGCCCCAUAACCUAAUACCCGGGUAUUACCUUCAGGAAGCCCGAACACCCCAAAUUUUUUUUUCUUUUUUUUUUUUUUUUUGUCUAACUAACUCCCAAAGGUCUGAAACAUGUUCCUUAAAAAAUAUUGGACAGUGAUUUUAACCCUAACACCAAAAACCUUAAACCUAACCCUAGCCCCAAAACCUAAUACCCGGGUAUUACCUUCAGGAAGCCCGAAAACCCCAAAUAUUUUUUUUCAUUUUUCGUUUUUUUUUUGGUCUAACUAACUCCAAAAGGUUGGAAAAUAGUUCCUACAAAGGUUUUGGACAGUGAUUUUAACCCUAACGCCAAAAACCUUAAACCUUACCCUAGCCCCAAAACCUAAUACCCGGGUAUUACCUUCAGGAAGCCCGAAGACCCCAAAUAUAUUUUUUUCUUUUUUCUUUUUUUUUAGUCUAACUAACUCCAAAAGGUCGGAAAAGAGUUCCUACAAAGGUUUUGGACAGUGAUUCUAACCCUAACACCAAAAACCUUAAACCUUACCCUAGCCCCAUAACCUAAUACCCGGGUAUUACCUUCAGGAAACCCGAACACCCCAAAUAUAUUUUUUUUCUUUUUCUUUUUUUUUUGUCUAACUAACUCCCAAAGGUCUGAAACAUGUUCCUUAAAAAAUAUUGUACAGUUAUUUUAACCCUAACGCCAAAAACCUUAAACCUAACCCUAGCCCCAUAACCUCAUACCCGGGUAUUACCUUCAGGAAGCCCGAACACCCCAAAUAUCUUUUUUUCAUUUAUCUUUUUUUUUUGUCUAACUAAUUCCCAAAGGUUGGAAAAGAGUUCCUACAAAGGUUUUGGACAGUGAUUUUUACCCUCACGCCGAAAAACCUUAAACCUUACCCUAGCCCCAUAACCUAAUACUAGUGAUGCACGAUAUGAAAAAUUUCAACCGAUACCGAUAACCGAUAAUUUUCUUCUUCUCAUGGCCGAUACCGAUACCGAUACCGAUACCGAUAACCGAUAAAUUCAUAUUUUUACAUUUAUUAUAAUCUUCAUAUAAUCUGCAGUUUGUGCAGGAUGCAGCGAUUGAAAACUGAUCUUUUUGUUGCUCUGGCCUAUCUAGAACAACAAACAAAAGUUUUUGGCUCUUCAAAUGUGGUCAUUUGCUAUAAAUAACAAUAACAGAGCAAAAAGCAGAACUUCAUUUGAUCCCCUGAACGGUUCAACAGAACUGUAAACUGUAAAGGAGCUAUUAUGAGACGUUAGGCUUAGCAUGCUGACCUGACUAACAUCUGACGUCCAUAUGUCUGUGGUAAAACUCACGUGUAGUCCAUUCUUGUCGAUCAGGUUGUGAAUGUAUGUGGCGACAAUAUCAUAGAGUGCAGGAAGAGACACAUCCGAGAAGAAGCGGCGGCUUGGGAGAGUGUAACGUGGCUCCAAGUGUGCUAUGAACUUACGAAAACCCGGGUUCUCAACGACGGAAAAAGGCUGGUCGUCGACCGCUAUGAACUCCAUCACUUUGUCAUUAAUGGCUUUAGCCUUUUCGCUGUCUCUUGAGAAGCUUUUGCAGUUUUUAAACGCCCGCUGAAUGGGGACAUCGAUCCUCCGUAGUGUUGUUGUCUUAGCUUUAGUACCGCUAGCAGCUUCGGCGGCUGUCUCAUAUUCUUUUAUUACCGCUUCGCCGCGAUGGCGACUUUUCAGAUGAGCUAUCAGAUUCGCUGUGUUAAUACUUGACGUCUUCUUUCCUCCUCUCGGAAUCCUCGCUGAACAGGUUUUGCAUAUAGCAAUGCUGUUGUCAUCUUCUGCCACUGAGAGAAACGACCAUGCUGGUGAAGACAUUUUAUUAUCUGUCAGGUAGUGACGGGGUCAGGCUUGGGACCUGCGAGUAAGGCGCGAUAGAUGACGUAACCAGCGCGUCUCGGACGGGCGGCUACUCCGCCUGCAAAUGUUACUCGUAAUUUCAUUAAUAUAUCGGAUCUUUCUAUCGGAAAAAUGCACCUAUCGGACCGAUAAAAAAUGACGUAAUUUCCCCCCAAAUCGGCCGAUAUUUUAUCGGUCCGAUAAAUAUCGUGCAUCCCUACCUAAUACCCGGGUAUUACCUUCAGGAAGCCCGAACACCCCAAAUAUAUAUUUUUUCAUUUUACAUUUUUUUUGGUGUAACCAACUCCAAAAGGUUGGAAAAGAGUUCCUACAAAGGUUUUGGACAGUGAUUUUAACCCUAACGCCAAAAACCUUAAACCUUACCCUAGCCCCAAAACCUAGUAUUACCUUCAGGAAGCCCGAAACCCCAAAUAUUUUUUUUUUCAUUUUUCAUUUUUUUUUGGUCUAACUAACUCCAAAAGGUCUGAAACAUGUUCCUAAAAAGGUUUUGGACAGUGAUUUUAACCCUAACGCCAAAAACCUUAAACCUUACCCUAGCCCCAUAACCUAAUACCCGGGUAUUACCUUCAGGAAGCCCGAACACCCCAAAUAUUUUUUUUUUAUUUUUUUUUUUUUUGUCUAACUAACUCCAAAAGGUUGGAAAAGACUUCCUACAAAGGUUUUGGACAGUGAUUUUAACCCUCACGCCAAAAACCUUAAACCUUACCCUAGCCCCAUAACCUAAUACCCGGGUAUUACCUUCAGGAAGCCCGAACACCCCAAAUAUAUAUUUUUUCUUUUUACAUUUUUUUUGGUGUAACCAACUCCAAAAGGUCUUAAACAUGUUCCUAAAAAGGUUUUGGACAGUGAUUUUAACCCUAACGCCAAAAACCUUAAACCUUACCCUAGCCCCAUAACCUAAUACCCGGGUAUUACCUUCAGGAAGCCCAAAAACCCCAAAUAUUUUUUUUUCAUUUUUCGUUUUUUUUUGGUCUAACUAACUCCAAAAGGUUGGAAAAGAGUUCCUACAAAGGUUUUGGACAGUGAUUUUAACCCUAACGCCAAAAACCUUAAACCUUACCCUAGCCCCAUAACCUAAUACCCGGGUAUUACCUUCAGGAAGCCCGAAGACCCCAAAUAUAUUUUUUUCAUUUUUCUUUUUUUUGUGGUCUAACUAACUCCAAAAGGUUGGAAAAGAGUUCCUACAAAGGUUUUGGACAGUGAUUUUAACCCUAACGCCAAAAACCUUAAACCUUACCCUAGCCCCAUAACCUCAUACCCGGGUAUUUCCUUCAGGAAGCCCGAAGACCCCAAAUAUAUUUUUUUCUUUUUUCUUUUUUUUUGGUCUAACUAACUCCAAAAGGUCGGAAAAGAGUUCCUACAAAGGUUUUGGACGGUGAUUUUAACCCUAACGCCAAAAACCUUAAACCUUACCCUAGCCCCAAAACCUAAUACCCGGGUAUUACCUUCAGGAAGCCCGAACACCCCAAAUAUUUUUUUUUUCAUUUUACAUUUUUUUUGGUGUAACCAACUCCAAAAGGUCUUAAACAUGUUCCUAAAAAGGUUUUGGACACUGAUUUUAACUCUAACGCCAAAAACCUUAAACCUUACCCUAGCCCCAUAACCUAAUACCCGGGUAUUACCUUCAGGAAGCCCGAACACCCCAAAUAUUUUUUUUUCUUUUUUUUUUUUUUUUUUUGUCUAACUAACUCCCAAAGGUCUGAAACAUGUUCCUUAAAAAAUAUUGGACAGUGAUUUUAACCCUAACGCCAAAAACCUUAAACCUAACCCUAGCCCCAAAACCUAAUACCCGGGUAUUACCUUCAGGAAGCCCGAACACCCCAAAUAUUUUUUUCAUUUUUUCAUUUUUUUUUUGGUCUAACUAACUCCAAAAGGUUGGAAAAUAGUUCCUACAAAGGUUUUGGACAGUGAUUUUAACCCUAACGCCAAAAACCUUAAACCUUACCCUAGCCCCAUAACCUAAUACCCGGGUAUUACCUUCAGGAAGCCCGAACACCCCAAAUAUUUUUUUUUCUUUUUCUUUUUUUUUGUCUAACUAACUCCCAAAGGUCUGAAACAUGUUCCUUAAAAAAUAUUGGACAGUUAUUUUAACCCUAACGCCAAAAACCUUAAACCUAACCCUAGCCCCUUAACCUCAUACCCGGGUAUUACCUUCAGGAAGCCCGAACACCCCAAAUAUUUUUUUUUCAUUUAUCUUUUUUUUUUGUCUAACUAAUUCCCAAAGGUUGGAAAAGAGUUCCUACAAAGGUUUUGGACAGUGAUUUUUACCCUCACGCCGAAAAACCUUAAACCUUACCCUAGCCCCAUAACCUAAUACUAGUGAUGCACGAUAUGAAAAAUUUCAACCGAUACCGAUAACCGAUAAUUUUCUUCUUCUCAUGGCCGAUACCGAUACCGAUACCGAUAACCGAUAAAUUCAUAUUUUUACAUUUAUUAUAAUCUUCAUAUAAUCUGCAGUUUGUGCAGGAUGCAGCGAUUGAAAACUGAUCUUUUUGUUGCUCUGGCCUAUCUAGAACAACAAACAAAAGUUUUUGGCUCUUCAAAUGUGGUCAUUUGCUAUAAAUAACAAUAACAGAGCAAAAAGCAGAACUUCAUUUGAUCCCCUGAACGGUUCAACAGAACUGUAAACUGUAAAGGAGCUAUUAUGAGACGUUAGGCUUAGCAUGCUGACCUGACUAACAUCUGACGUCCAUAUGUCUGUGGUAAAACUCACGUGUAGUCCAUUCUUGUCGAUCAGGUUGUGAAUGUAUGUGGCGACAAUAUCAUAGAGUGCAGGAAGAGACACAUCCGAGAAGAAGCGGCGGCUUGGGAGAGUGUAACGUGGCUCCAAGUGUGCUAUGAACUUACGAAAACCCGGGUUCUCAACGACGGAAAAAGGCUGGUCGUCGACCGCUAUGAACUCCAUCACUUUGUCAUUAAUGGCUUUAGCCUUUUCGCUGUCUCUUGAGAAGCUUUUGCAGUUUUUAAACGCCCGCUGAAUGGGGACAUCGAUCCUCCGUAGUGUUGUUGUCUUAGCUUUAGUACCGCUAGCAGCUUCGGCGGCUGUCUCAUAUUCUUUUAUUACCGCUUCGCCGCGAUGGCGACUUUUCAGAUGAGCUAUCAGAUUCGCUGUGUUAAUACUUGACGUCUUCUUUCCUCCUCUCGGAAUCCUCGCUGAACAGGUUUUGCAUAUAGCAAUGCUGUUGUCAUCUUCUGCCACUGAGAGAAACGACCAUGCUGGUGAAGACAUUUUAUUAUCUGUCAGGUAGUGACGGGGUCAGGCUUGGGACCUGCGAGUAAGGCGCGAUAGAUGACGUAACCAGCGCGUCUCGGACGGGCGGCUACUCCGCCUGCAAAUGUUACUCGUAAUUUCAUUAAUAUAUCGGAUCUUUCUAUCGGAAAAAUGCACCUAUCGGACCGAUAAAAAAUGACGUAAUUUCCCCCCAAAUCGGCCGAUAUUUUAUCGGUCCGAUAAAUAUCGUGCAUCCCUACCUAAUACCCGGGUAUUACCUUCAGGAAGCCCGAACACCCCAAAUAUAUAUUUUUUAUUUUUCUUUUUGUUUUGGUCUAACUUGCUCUCAAAGGUUGGAAAAGAGUUCCUACAAAGGUUUUGGACAUUGAUUUUAACCCUAACGCCAAAAACCUUAAACCUUACCCUAGCCCAGAAACCUAGUAUUACCUUCAGGAAGCCCGAACACCCCAAAAAAAUUUUUUUUCAUUUUACAUUUUUUUUGGUGUAACCAACUCCAAAAGGUCUGAAACAUGUUCCUAAAAAGGUUUUGGACAGUGAUUUUAACCCUUACGCCAAAAACCUUAAACCUUACCCUAGCCCCAUAACCUAAUACCCGGGUAUUACCUUCAGGAAGCCCGAACACCCCAAAUAUUUUUUUUUCAUUUUUCUUUUUUUUUUUGUCUAACUAACUCCAAAAGGUUGGAAAAGACUUCCUACAAAGGUUUUGGACAGUGAUUUUAACCCUCACGCCAAAAACCUUAAACCUUAACCUAGCCCCAUAACCUAAUACCCGGGUAUUACCUUCAGGAAGCCCGAACACCCCAAAUAUAUAUUUUUUCUUUUUACAUUUUUUUUGGUGUAACCAACUCCAAAAGGUCUUAAACAUGUUCCUAAAAAGGUUUUGGACAGUGAUUUUAAACCUAACGCCAAAAACCUUAAACCUUACCCUAGCCCCAUAACCUAAUACCCGGGUAUUACCUUCAGGAAGCCCAAAAACCCCAAAUAUUUUUUUUUCAUUUUUCGUUUUUUUUUGGUCUAACUAACUCCAAAAGGUUGGAAAAGAGUUCCUACAAAGGUUUUGGACAGUGAUUUUAACCCUAACGCCAAAAACCUUAAACCUUACCCUAGCCCCAUAACCUAAUACCCGGGUAUUACCUUCAGGAAGCCCGAAGACCCCAAAUAUAUUUUUUUCUUUUUUCUUUUUUUUUGGUCUAACUAACUCCAAAAGGUUGGAAAAGAGUUCCUACAAAGGUUUUGGACAGUGAUUUUAACCCUAACGCCAAAAACCUUAAACCUUACCCUAGCCCCAUAACCUCAUACCCGGGUAUUUCCUUCAGGAAGCCCGAAGACCCCAAAUAUAUUUUUUUCUUUUUUCUUUUUUUUUGGUCUAACUAACUCCAAAAGGUCGGAAAAGAGUUCCUACAAAGGUUUUGGACAGUGAUUUUAACCCUAACUCCAAAAACCUUAAACCUUACCCUAGCCCCAAAACCUAAUACCCGGGUAUUACCUUCAGGAAGCCCGAAGACCCCAAAUAUAUUUUUUUUUCAUUUUACUCUAACGCCAAAAACCUUAAACCUUACCCUAGCCCCAUAACCUAAUACCCGGGUAUUACCUUCAGGAAACCCGAACACCCCAAAUAUAUUUUUUUUCUUUUUCUUUUUUUUGUCUAACUAACUCCCAAAGGUCUGAAACAUGUUCCUUAAAAAAAUAUUGGACAGUUAUUUUAACCCUAACGCCAAAAACCUUAAACCUAACCCUUGCCCCGAAACCUAAUACCCGGGUAUUACCUUCAGGAAGCCCGAACACCCCAAAUAUAUAUUUUUUCUUUUUACAUUUUUUUUGCUGUAACCAACUCCAAAAGGUCUUAAACAUGUUCCUAAAAAGGUUUUGGACAGUGAUUUUAAACCUAACGCCAAAAACCUUAAACCUUACCCUAGCCCCAUAACCUAAUACCCGGGUAUUACCUUCAGGAAGCCCAAAAACCCCAAAUAUUUUUUUUUCAUUUUUCUUUUUUUUGUGGUCUAACUAACUCCAAAAGGUUGGAAAAGAGUUCCUACAAAGGUUUUGGACAGUGAUUUUAACCCUUACGCCAAAAACCUUUAACCUUACUAUAGCCCCAUAACCUAUACCUGGGUAUUUCCUUCAGGAAGCCCUAAGACCCCAAAUAUAUAUAUAUAUAUAUUUUGUUUUUUUUGGUCUAACUAACUCCCAAAGGUCUGAAACAUGUUCCUGAAAAAAUAUUGGACAGUGAUUUUAACCCUUAUGCCAAAAACCUUAAACCUAAUCCUAGCCCCAUAACCUAAUACUGAAACCUGAAGGGUAUUACCUUCAGGAAGCCUGAACACCCCAAAUAUUUUUUUUGUCAUUUUACAUUUUUUUUGGUGUAACCAACUCCAAAAGGUCUGAAUCUUGUUCCUUAAAAGGUUUUGGACAGUGAUUUUAACCCUAACGCCAAAAACCUUAAACCUUACCCUAGCCCCAAAACCUAAUUCCUUCAGGAAACCCGAAGACCCCAAAUAUUUUUUUUUUCAUUUAUCUUUUUUUUUUGGUCUAACUAACUCCAAAAGGUUGGAAAAGAGUUCCUACAAAGGUUUUGGACAGUGAUUUUAACCCUACCGCCAAAAACCUUAAACCUUACCCUAGCCCCAAAACCUAAUACCCGGGUAUUACCUUCAGGAAGCCCGAACACCCCAAAUAUAUUUUUUUUCAUUUUACAUUUUUUUUGGUGUAACCAACUCCAAAAGGUCUGAAACAUGUUCCUAAAAAGGUUUUGGACACUGAUUUUAACUCUAACGCCAAAAACCUUAAACCUUACCCUAGCCCCAUAACCUAAUACCCGGGUAUUACCUUCAGGAAGCCCGAACACCCCAAAUAUUUUUUUUCAUUUUUCUUUUUUUUUUGUCUAACUAACUCCAAAAGGUCUGAAACAUGUUCCUAAAAAAUUUUGGACAGUGAUUUUAACCCUUACGCCAAAAACCUUAAACCUUACCCUAGCCCCAUAACCUAAUACCCGGGUAUUACCUUCAGGAAGCCCGAACACCCCAAAUAUUUUUUUUGUCAUGUUAAAUUUUUUUUGGUGUAACCAACUCCAAAAGGUCUGAAUCUUGUUCCUUAAAAGGUUUUGGACAGUGAUUUUAACCCUAACGCCAAAAACCUUAAACCUUACCCUAGCCCCAAAACCUAAUACCCGGGUAUUACCUUCAGGAAACCCGAACACCCCAAAUAUUUUUUUUUUCUUUUUCUUUUUUUUUUGUCUAACUAACUCCCAAAGGUCUGAAACAUGUUCCUAAAAAGGUUUUGGACAGUGAUUUUAACCCUAACGCCAAAAACCUUAAACCUUACCCUAGCCCCAUAACCUAAUACCCGGGUAUUACCUUCAGGAAGCCCGAACACCCCAAAUAUAUAUUUUUUCUUUUUACAUUUUUUUUGGUGUAACCAACUCCAAAAGGUCUUAAACAUGUUCCUAAAAAGGUUUUGGACAGUGAUUUUAACCCUAACGCCAAAAACCUUAAACCUUACCCUAGCCCCAUAACCUAAUACCCGGGUAUUACCUUCAGGAAGCCCAAAAACCCCAAAUAUUUUUUUUUUCAUUUUUCGUUUUUUUGGUCUAACUAACUCCAAAAGGUUGGAAAAGAGUUCCUACAAAGGUUUUGGACAGUGAUUUUAACCCUAACGCCAAAAACCUUAAACCUUACCCUAGCCCCAUAACCUAAUACCCGGGUAUUACCUUCAGGAAGCCCGAACACCCCAAAUAUAUUUUUUUUCAUUUUUCAUUUUUUUUUGGUCUAACUAACUCCAAAAGGUCUGAAAAGAGUUCCUACAAAGGUUUUGGACAGUGAUUUUAACCCUAACACCAAAAACCUUAAACCUUACCCUAGCCCCAAAACCUAAUACCCGGGUAAUACCUUCAGGAAGCCCGAACACCCCAAAUAUUUUUUUUUUCAUUUUACAUUUUUUUUGGUGUAACCAACUCCAAAAGGUCUGAAACAUGUUCCUACAAAGGUUUUGGACAGUGAUUUUAACCCUCACACCAAAAACCUUAAACCUUACCCUAGCCCCAUAACCUAAUACCCGGGUAUUACCUUCAGGAAGCCCGAACACCCCAAAUAUAUUUUUUUUCAUUUUUCAUUUUUUUUUGGUGUAACCAACUCCCAAAGGUCUGAAACAUGUUCCUUAAAAGGUUUUGGACAGUGAUUUUAACCCUAACGCCAAAAACCUUAAACCUUAACCUAGCCCCAAAACCUAAUACCCGGGUAUUACCUUCAGGAAGCCCGAAAACCCCAAAUAUUUUUUUUUCUUUUUUCUUUUUUUUGGUCUAACUAACUCCAAAAGGUCUGAAACAUGUUCCUUAAAAAAUAUUGGACAGUGAUUUUAACCCUAACGCCAAAAACCUUAAACCUAAUCCUAGUCCCAAAACCUAAUACUAUUAUUACCUAUUAUUACCUUCAGGAAGCCCGAACACCCCAAAUUUUUUUUUUUCAUUUUUCAUUUUUUUAUUGGUCUAACUAACUCCAAAAGGUUGGAAAAGACUUCCUACAAAGGUUUUGGACAGUGAUUUUAACUCUCACGCCAAAAACCUUAAACCUUUCCAAAGCCCCAUAACCUAAUACCCGGUUUUACCUUCCGGAAGCCAAAAAACCCCAAAUAUUUUCUUUUCAUUUAUCUUUUUUUUUUUGUCUAACUAACUCCAAAAGGUUGGCAAAGACUUCCUACAAAGGUUUUGGACAGUGAUUUUAACCCUCACGCCAAAAACCUUAAACCUUACCCUAGCCCCAUAACCUAUAGCCCAGGUAUUACCUUCAGGAAGCCCGAAGACCCCGAAUAUAUAUUUUUUCAUUUAUCUUUUUUUUUUUGUCUAACUAACUCCAAAAGGUCUGAAACAUGUUCCUUAAAAAAUAUUGGACAGUGAUUUUAACCCUUACGCCAAAAACCUUAAACCUUAUCCUAGCCCCAUAACCUAAUACCCGGGUAUUACCUUCAGGAAGCCCGAACACCCCAAAUAUUUUUUUUUCAUUUUACAUUUUUUUUGGUGUAACCAACUCCAAAAGGUCAUAAACAUGUUCCUUAAAAGGUUUUGGACAGUGAUUUUAACCCUAACGCCAAAAACCUUAAACCUUACCCUAGCCCCAAAACCUAAUACCCGGUAUUACCUUCAGGAAGCCCGAACACCCCAAAUAUUUUUUUUUCAUUUUACAUUUUUUUUUGGUCUAACUAACUCCAAAAGGUCUGAAACAUGUUCCUUAAAAGGUUUUGGACAGUGAUUUUAACCCUAACACCAAAAACCUUAAACCUAAUCCUAGCCCCAAAACCUAAUACCCGGGUAUUACCUUCAGGAAGCCCGAACACCCCAAAUUUUUUUUUUCAUAUUUCAUUUUUUUUUUUGUCUAACUAACACCAAAAGGUUUGAAACAUGUUCCUACAAAGGUUUUGGACAGUGAUUUUAACCCUAACGCCAAAAACCUUAAACCUUACCCUAGCCCCAAAACCUAAUUCCUUCAGGAAACCCGAACACCCCAAAUAUUUUUUUUUUCUUUUUCUUUUUUUUGUCUAACUAACUCCAAAAGGUCUGAAACAUGUUCCUUAAAAAAAUAUUGGACAGUUAUUUUAACCCUAACGCCAAAAACCUUAAACCUAACCCUAGCCCCAAAACCUAAUACCCGGGUAUUACCUUCAGGAAGCCCGAACACCCCAAAUAUAUAUUUUUUCUUUUUACAUUUUUUUUGGUGUAACCAACUCCAAAAGGUCUUAAACAUGUUCCUAAAAAGGUUUUGGACAGUGAUUUUAACCCUAACGCCAAAAACCUUAAACCUUACCCUAGCCCCAUAACCUAAUACCCGGGUAUUACCUUCAGGAAGCCCGAAAACCCCAAAUAUUUUUUUUUCAUUUUUCGUUUUUUUUUUGGUCUAACUAACUCCAAAAGGUUGGAAAAGAGUUCCUACAAAGGUUUUGGACAGUGAUUUUAACCCUAACGCCAAAAACCUUAAACCUUACCCUAGCCCCAUAACCUAAUACCCGGGUAUUACCUUCAGGAAGCCCGAACACCCCAAAUAUAUUUUUUUCUUUUUUUUUUUUUUUGGUCUAACUAACUCCAAAAGGUCGGAAAAGAGUUCCUACAAAGGUUUUGGACAGUGAUUUUAACCCUAACGCCAAAAACCUUAAACCUUACCCUAGCCCCAAACCUAAUACCCGGGUAUUACCUUCAGGAAGCCCGAACACCCCAAAUAUAUUUUUUUUCAUUUUACAUUUUUUUUUGGUGUUACCAACUCCAAAAGGUCUGAAACAUGUUCCUAAAAGGUUUUGGACAGUGAUUUUAACCCUAACGCCAAAAACCUUUAACCUUACUAUAGCCCCAUAACCUAAUACCCGGGUAUUACCUUCAGGAAGCCUGAACACCCCAAAUAUUUUUUUUUUUCAUUUUACAUUUUUUUUGGUGUAACCAACUCCAAAAGGUCUUAAACAUGUUCCUAAAAAGGUUUUGGACACUGAUUUUAACUCUAACGCCAAAAACCUUAAACCUUACCCUAGCCCCAUGACCUAAUACCCGGGUAUUACCUUCAGGAAGCCCAAAAACCCCAAAUAUUUUUUUUUCAUUUUUCUUUUUUUGUGGUCUAACUAACUCCAAAAGGUUGGAAAAGAGUUCCUACAAAGGUUUUGGACAGUGAUUUUAACCCUAACGCCAAAAACCUUAAACCUUACCCUAGCCCCAUAACCUCAUACCCGGGUAUUUCCUUCAGGAAGCCCGAAGACCCCAAAUAUAUUUUUUUCUUUUUUCUUUUUUUUUGGUCUAACUAACUCCAAAAGGUCGGAAAAGAGUUCCUACAAAGGUUUUGGACAGUGAUUUUAACCCUAACGCCAAAAACCUUAAACCUUACCCUAGCCCCAUAACCUAAUACCCGGGUAUUACCUUCAGGAAGCUUGAACACCCCAAAUAUUUUUUUUUUCAUUUUUCGUUUUUUUUUUGGUCUAACUAACUCCAAAAGGUUGGAAAAUAGUUCCUACAAAGGUUUUGGACAGUGAUUUUAACCCUAACGCCAAAAACCUUAAACCUUACCCUAGCCCCAUAACCUCAUACCCGGGUAUUUCCUUCAGGAAGCCCGAAGACCCCAAAUAUAUAUAUAUAUAUUUUUUGUUUUUUUUUGGUCUAACUAACUCCAAAAGGUUGGAAAAGAGUUCCUACAAAGGUUUUGGACAGUGAUUUUAACCCUACCACCAAAAACCUUAAACCUUACCCUAGCCCCAAAACCUAAUACCCGGGUAUUACCUUCAGGAAGCCCGAACACCCCAAAUAUAUUUUUUUUCAUUUUACAUUUUUUUUGGUGUAACCAACUCCAAAAGGUCUUAAACAUGUUCCUAAAAAGGUUUUGGACAGUGAUUUUAACCCUAACGCCAAAAACCUUAAACCUUACCCUAGCCCCAUGACCUAAAACCCGGGUAUUACCUUCAGGAAGCCCAAAAACCCCAAAUAUUUUUUUUUCAUUUUUCUUUUUUUUGUGGUCUAACUAACUCCAAAAGGUUGGAAAAGAGUUCCUACAAAGGUUUUGGACAGUGAUUUUAACCCUAACGCCAAAAACCUUAAACCUUACCCUAGCCCCAUAACCUCAUACCCGGGUAUUUCCUUCAGGAAGCCCGAAGACCCCAAAUAUAUAUUUUUCUUUUUUCUUUUUUUUUGGUCUAACUAACUCCAAAAGGUCGGAAAAGAGUUCCUACAAAGGUUUUGGACGGUGAUUUUAACCCUAACACCAAAAACCUUAAACCUUACCCUAGCCCCAUAACCUAAUACCCGGUAUUACCUUCAGGAAGCUUGAACACCCCAAUUUUUUUUUUUUCAUUUUUUGUUUUUUUUUUGGUCUAACUAACUCCAAAAGGUUGGAAAAUAGUUCCUACAAAGGUUUUGGACAGUGAUUUUAACCCUAACGCCAAAAACCUUUAACCUUACUAUAGCCCCAUAACCUAAUACCUGGGUAUUUCCUUCAGGAAGCCCGAAGACCCCAAAUAUAUAUAUAUAUAUUUUUUGUUUUUUUUGGUCUAACUAACUCCAAAAGGUUGGAAAAGAGUUCCUACAAAGGUUUUGGACAGUGAUUUUAACCCUACCACCAAAAACCUUAAACCUUACCCUAGCCCCAAAACCUAAUACCCGGGUAUUACCUUCAGGAAGCUUGAACACCCCAAAUAUAUUUUUUUUUCAUUUUACAUUUUUUUUUGGUGUAACCAACUCCAAAAGGUCUUAAACAUGUUCCUAAAAAGGUUUUGGACAGUGAUUUUAACUCUAACGCCAAAAACCUUAAACCUUACCCUAGCCCCAUAACCUAAUACCCGGGUAUUACCUUCAGGAAGCCCGAACACCCCAAAUAUUUUUUUUUCUUUUUCUUUUUUUUUUGUCUAACUAACUCCCAAAGGUCUGAAACAUGUUCCUGAAAAAAUAUUGGACAGUGAUUUUAACCCUUACGCCAAAAACCUUAAACCUAAUCCUAGCCCCAUAACCUAAUACUUAAACCUGAAGGGUAUUACCUUCAGGAAGCCCGAACACCCCAAAUAUUUUUUUUUUCAUUUUACAUUUUUUUUGGUGUAACCAACUCCAAAAGGUCUGAAUCUUGUUCCUUAAAAGGUUUUGGACAGUGAUUUUAACCCUAACGCCAAAAACCUUAAACCUUACCCUAGCCCCAAAACCUAAUACCCGGGUAUUACCUUCAGGAAGCUUGAACACCCCAAAUAUUUUUUUUUUCAUUUAUCUAUUUUUUUUUGUCUAACUAAUUCCCAAAGGUUGGAAAAGAGUUCCUCAAAGGUUUUGGACAGUGAUUUUUACCCUCACACCGAAAAACCUUAAACCUUACCCUAGCCCCAUAACCUAAUACCCGGGUAUUACCUUCAGGAAGCCCGAACACCCCAAAUAUAUAUUUUUUAUUUUUACAUUUUUUUUGGUGUAACCAACUCCAAAAGGUCAUAAACAUGUUCCUUAAAAGGUUUUGGACAGUGAUUUUAACCCUAACGCCAAAAACCUUAAACCUUACCCUAGCCCCAAAACCUAAUACCUUCAGGAAGCCCGAAAACCCCAAAUAUUUUUUUUUCUUUUUUCUUUUUUUUGGUCUAACUAACUCCAAAAGGUCUGAAACAUGUUCCUUAAAAAAUAUUGGACAGUGAUUUUAACCCUAACGCCAAAAACCUUAAACCUAAUCCUAGUCCCAAAACCUAAUACCCGGGUAUUACCUUCAGGAAGCCCGAACACCCCAAAUUUUUUUUUUUCAUUUUUCAUUUUUUUAUUGGUCUAACUAACUCCAAAAGGUUGGAAAAGACUUCCUACAAAGGUUUUGGACAGUGAUUUUAACUCUCACGCCAAAAACCUUAAACCUUUCCAAAGCCCCAUAACCUAAUACCUGGGUUUUACCUUCCGGAAGCCAAAAAACCCCAAAUAUUUUUUUUUCAUUUAUCUUUUUUUUUUUGUCUAACUAACUCCAAAAGGUUGGAAAAGACUUCCUACAAAGGUUUUGGACAGUGAUUUUAACCCUCACGCCAAAAACCUUAAACCUUAACCUAGCCCCAUAACCUAAUACCCGGUAUUACCUUCAGGAAGCCCGAACACCCCAAAUAUAUAUUUUUUCAUUUAUCUUUUUUUUUUUGUCUAACUAACUCCAAAAGGUCUGAAACAUGUUCCUUAAAAAAUAUUGGACAGUGAUUUUAACCCUUACGCCAAAAACCUUAAACCUAAUCCUAGCCCCAUAACCUAAUACUUAAACCUGAAGGGUAUUACCUUCAGGAAGCCCGAACACCCCAAAUAUUUUUUUUGUCAUUUUACAUUUUUUUUGGUGUAACCAACUCCAAAAGGUCUGAAUCUUGUUCCUUAAAAGGUUUUGGACAGUGAUUUUAACCCUAACGCCAAAAACCUUAAACCUUACCCUAGCCCCAAAACCUAAUACCUUCAGGAAGCCCGAAAACCCCAAAUAUUUUUUUUUCAUUUUACAUUUUUUUUGGUCUAACUAACUCCAAAAGGUCUGAAACAUGUUCCUUAAAAAAUAUUGGACAGUGAUUUUAACCCUAACGCCAAAAACCUUAAACCUAAUCCUAGCCCCAAAACCUAAUACCCGGGUAUUACCUUCAGGAAGCCCGAACACCCCAAAUUUUUUUUUUUCAUUUUUCAUUUUUUUAUUGGUCUAACUAACACCAAAAGGUUUGAAAAGAGGUCCUACAAAGGUUUUGGACAGUGAUUUUAACCCUCACGCCAAAAACCUUAAACCUUACCCUAGCCCCAUAACCUAAUACCCGGGUAUUACCUUCAGGAAGCCCGAACACCCCAAAUAUUUUUUUUUCAUUUAUCUUUUUUUUUUUGUCUAACUAACUCCAAAAGGUUGGAAAAGACUUCCUACAAAAGACUAACUCCAAAAGGUUGGAAAAGACUUCCUACAAAGGUAAUACAAAUUAUUACCUUCAGGAAGCUCGAACACCCCAAAUUUAUACAUUUUUUUUUCUUUUUUUUUUGUCAAACUAGCUCCAAAAAGUCUGAAACAUGUUCCUUAAAAAUAUUGGACAGUGAUUUUAACCCUAACGCCAAAAACAUUAAACCUAAUCCUAGCCCCAUAACCUAAUACUUAAACCUGAAGGGUAUUACCUUCAGGAAGCCCGAACACCCCAAAUAUUUUUUUUUUCAUUUUACAUUUUUUUUUGGUGUAACCAACUCCAAAAGGUCUUAAACAUGUUCCUAAAAAGGUUUUGGACACUGAUUUUAACUCUAACGCCAAAAACCUUAAACCUUACCCUAGCCCCAUAACCUAAUACCCGGGUAUUACCUUCAGGAAACCCGAACACCCCAAAUAUUUUUUUUUCUUUUUCUUUUUUUUUGUCUAACUAACUCCCAAAGGUCUGAAACAUGUUCCUUAAAAAAUAUUGGACAGUUAUUUUAACCCUAACGCCAAAAACCUUAAACCUUACCCUAGCCCCAUAACCUAAUACCCGGGUAUUACCUUCAGGAAGCCCGAAAAGCCCAAAUAUUGUUUUUUCAUUUUUCGUUUUUUUUUUGGUCUAACUAAUUCCAAAAGGAUGGUAAAGUGUUCCUACAAAGGUUUUGGACAGUGAUUUUUACCCUCACGCCGAAAAACCUUAAACCUUACCCUAGCCCCAUAACCUAUUACCUUCAGGAAGCCCGAAAAGCCCAAAUAUAUAUUUUUUAUUUUUCUUUUUGUUUUGGUCUAACUUGCUCUCAAAGGUUGGAAGAGUUCCUACAAAGGUUUUGGACAUUGAUUUUAACCCUAACGCCAAAAACCUUAAACAUUACCCUAGCCCAGAAACCUAGUAUUACCUUCAGGAAGCCCGAACACCCAAAAAAAAUUUUUUUUCAUUUUACAUUUUUUUUGGUGUAACCAACUCUAAAAGGUCUGAAACAUGUUCCUAAAAAGGUUUUGGACAGUGAUUUUAACCCUUACGCCAAAAACCUUAAACCUUACCCUAGCCCCAUAACCUAAUACCCGGGUAUUACCUUCAGGAAGCCCGAACACCCCAAAUAUUUUUUGGGGUGUUUAUCUUUUUUUUUUUGUCUAACUAACUCCAAAAGGUUGGAAAAGACUUCCUACAAAGGUUUUGGACAGUGAUUUUAACCCUCACGCCAAAAACCUUAAACCUUACCCUAGCCCCAUAACCUAAUACCCGGGUAUUACCUUCAGGAAGCCCGAACACCCCAAAUAUAUAUUUUUUCUUUUUCUUUUUUUUUUUGGUCAAACUAGCUCCAAAAGGUCUGAAACAUGUUCCUUAAAAAAUAUUGGACAGUGAUUUUAACCCUUACGCCAAAAACCUUAAACCUAAUCCUAGCCCCAUAACCUAAUACUUAAACCUGAAGGGUAUUACCUUCAGGAAGCCCGAACACCCCAAAUAUAUUUUUUUUCAUUUUACAUUUUUUUUGGUGUAACCAACUCCAAAAGGUCUGAAUCUUGUUCCUUAAAAGGUUUUGGACAGUGAUUUUAACCCUAACGCCAAAAACCUUAAACCUUUCCCUAGCCUCAAAACCUAAUACCUUCAGGAAGCCCGAAAAGCCCAAAUAUUUUUUUUUCUUUUUUCUUUUUUUUGGUCUACCUAACUCCAAAAGGUCUGAAACAUGUUCCUUAAAAAAUAUUGGACAGUGAUUUUAACCCUAACGCCAAAAACCUUAAACCUAAUCCUAGCCCCAUAACCUAAUACUUAAACCUGAAGGGUAUUACCUUCAGGAAGCCCGAACACCCCAAAUAUUUUUUUUUCAUUUUUCAUUUUUUUAUUGGUCUAACUAACUCCAAAAGGUUGGAAAAGACUCCCUACAAAGGUUUUGAACACUGAUUUUAACCCUCACGCCAAAAACCUUAAACCUUACCCUAGCCCCAUAACCUAAUACCCGGGUAUUACCUUCAGGAAGCUUGAACAACCCAAAUAUUUUUUUUUUUUCAUUUUACAUUUUUUUUUGGUGUUACCAACUCCAAAAGGUCUGAAACAUGUUCCUAAAAAGGUUUUGGACAGUGAUUUUAACCCUGACGCCAAAAACCUUAAACCUUACCCUAGCCCCAUAACCUAAUACCCGGGUAUUACCUUCAGGAAGCCCGAACACCCCAAAUAUUUUUUUUUCAUUUAUCUUUUUUUUUUUUGUCUAACUAACUCCAAAAGGUUGGAAAAGAGUUCCUACAAAGGUUUUGGACAGUGAUUUUAACCCUAACGCCAAAAACCUUAAACCUUAACCUAGCCCCAAAACCUAAUACCUUCAGGAAGCCCGAAAACCCCAAAUAUUUUUUUUUUCUUUUUUCUUUUUUUUUGGUCUAACUAACUCCAAAAGGUCUGAAACAUGUUCCUUAAAAAAUAUUGGACAGUGAUUUUAACCCUAACGCCAAAAACCUUAAACCUAAUCCUAGCCCCAAAACCUAAUACCCGGGUAUUACCUUCAGGAAGCCCGAAAACCCCAAAUAUUUUUUUUUCAUUUUUCAUUUUUUUAUUGGUCUAACUAACUCCAAAAGGUUGGAAAAGACUCCCUACAAAGGUUUUGAACACUGAUUUUAACCCUCACGCCAAAAACCUUAAACCUUUCCAAAGCCCCAUAACCUAAUACCCGGGUAUUACCUUCAGGAAGCCCAAAAACCCCAAAUAUUUGUUUUUCAAUUUUCGUUUUUUUUUUUGGUCUAACUUACACCAAAAGGUUGGAAAAGAGGUCCUACAAAGGUUUUGGACAGUGAUUUUAACCCUCACGCCAAAAACCUUAAACCUUACCCUAGCACCAUAACCUAAUACCCGGGUAUUACCUUCAGGAAGCCCGAACACCCCAAAUAUUUUUUUUUUUCAUUUUACAUUUUUUUUUGGUGUAACCAACUCCAAAAGGUCUUAAACAUGUUCCUAAAAAGGUUUUGGACACUGAUUUUAACUCUAACGCCAAAAACCUUAAACCUUACCCUAGCCCCAUAACCUAAUACCCGGGUAUUACCUUCAGGAAACCCGAACACCCCAAAUAUUUUUUUUUCUUUUUCUUUUUUUUUGUCUAACUAACUCCCAAAGGUCUGAAACAUGUUCCUUAAAAAAUAUUGGACAGUUAUUUUAACCCUAACGCCAAAAACCUUAAACCUUACCCUAGCCCCAUAACCUAAUACCCGGGUAUUACCUUCAGGAAGCCCGAAAAGCCCAAAUAUUGUUUUUUCAUUUUUCGUUUUUUUUUUGGUCUAACUAAUUCCAAAAGGAUGGUAAAGUGUUCCUACAAAGGUUUUGGACAGUGAUUUUUACCCUCACGCCGAAAAACCUUAAACCUUACCCUAGCCCCAUAACCUAUUACCUUCAGGAAGCCCGAAAAGCCCAAAUAUAUAUUUUUUAUUUUUCUUUUUGUUUUGGUCUAACUUGCUCUCAAAGGUUGGAAGAGUUCCUACAAAGGUUUUGGACAUUGAUUUUAACCCUAACGCCAAAAACCUUAAACAUUACCCUAGCCCAGAAACCUAGUAUUACCUUCAGGAAGCCCGAACACCCAAAAAAAAUUUUUUUUCAUUUUACAUUUUUUUUGGUGUAACCAACUCUAAAAGGUCUGAAACAUGUUCCUAAAAAGGUUUUGGACAGUGAUUUUAACCCUUACGCCAAAAACCUUAAACCUUACCCUAGCCCCAUAACCUAAUACCCGGGUAUUACCUUCAGGAAGCCCGAACACCCCAAAUAUUUUUUGGGGUGUUUAUCUUUUUUUUUUUGUCUAACUAACUCCAAAAGGUUGGAAAAGACUUCCUACAAAGGUUUUGGACAGUGAUUUUAACCCUCACGCCAAAAACCUUAAACCUUAACCUAGCCCCAUAACCUAAUACCCGGGUAUUACCUUCAGGAAGCCCGAACACCCCAAAUAUAUAUUUUUUCUUUUUCUUUUUUUUUUUUGGUCAAACUAGCUCCAAAAGGUCUGAAACAUGUUCCUUAAAAAAUAUUGGACAGUGAUUUUAACCCUUACGCCAAAAACCUUAAACCUAAUCCUAGCCCCAUAACCUAAUACUUAAACCUGAAGGGUAUUACCUUCAGGAAGCCCGAACACCCCAAAUAUAUUUUUUUUCAUUUUACAUUUUUUUUGGUGUAACCAACUCCAAAAGGUCUGAAUCUUGUUCCUUAAAAGGUUUUGGACAGUGAUUUUAACCCUAACGCCAAAAACCUUAAACCUUUCCCUAGCCCCAAAACCUAAUACCUUCAGGAAGCCCGAAAAGCCCAAAUAUUUUUUUUUCUUUUUUCUUUUUUUUGGUCUACCUAACUCCAAAAGGUCUGAAACAUGUUCCUUAAAAAAUAUUGGACAGUGAUUUUAACCCUAACGCCAAAAACCUUAAACCUAAUCCUAGCCCCAAAACCUAAUACCCGGGUAUUACCUUCAGGAAGCCCGAACACCCCAAAUAUUUUUUUUUCAUUUUUCAUUUUUUUAUUGGUCUAACUAACUCCAAAAGGUUGGAAAAGACUCCCUACAAAGGUUUUGAACACUGAUUUUAACCCUCACGCCAAAAACCUUAAACCUUACCCUAGCCCCAUAACCUAAUACCCGGGUAUUACCUUCAGGAAGCUUGAACAACCCAAAUAUUUUUUUUUUUCAUUUUACAUUUUUUUUUGGUGUUACCAACUCCAAAAGGUCUGAAACAUGUUCCUAAAAAGGUUUUGGACAGUGAUUUUAACCCUGACGCCAAAAACCUUAAACCUUACCCUAGCCCCAUAACCUCAUACCCGGGUAUUACCUUCAGGAAGCCCGAACACCCCAAAUAUUUUUUUUUCAUUUAUCUUUUUUUUUUUGUCUAACUAACUCCAAAAGGUUGGAAAAGACUUCCUACAAAGGUUUUGGACAGUGAUUUUAACCCUCACGCCAAAAACCUUAAACCUUAAACUAGCCCCAUAACCUAUUACCCGGGUAUUACCUUCAGGAAGCCCGAACACCCCAAAUAUAUAUUUUUUCUUUUUCUUUUUUUUUUUGGUCAAACUAGCUCCAAAAGGUCUGAAACAUGUUCCUUAAAAAAUAUUGGACAGUGAUUUUAACCCUUACGCCAAAAACCUUAAACCUUACCCUAGCCCCAUAACCUAAUACCCGGGUAUUACCUUCAGGAAGCUUGAACAACCCAAAUAUUUUUUUUUUUCAUUUUACAUUUUUUUUUGGUGUUACCAACUCCAAAAGGUCUGAAACAUGUUCCUAAAAAGGUUUUGGACAGUGAUUUUAACCCUGACGCCAAAAACCUUAAACCUUACCCUAGCCCCAUAACCUCAUACCCGGGUAUUACCUUCAGGAAGUCCGAACACCCCAAAUAUUUUUUUUUCAUUUAUCUUUUUUUUUUUGUCUAACUAACUCCAAAAGGUUGGAAAAGAGUUCCUACAAAGGUUUUGGACAGUGAUUUUAACCCUAACGCCAAAAACCUUAAACCUUAACCUAGCCCCAAAACCUAAUACCUUCAGGAAGCCCGAAAACCCCAAAAAAUUUUUUUUCUUUUUUCUUUUUUUUUGGUCUAACUAACUCCAAAAGGUCUGAAACAUGUUCCUUAAAAAAUAUUGGACAGUGAUUUUAACCCUUACGCCAAAAACCUUAAACCUAUUCCUAGCCCCAUAACCUAAUACUUAAACCUGAAGGGUAUUACCUUCAGGAAGCUUGAACAACCCAAAUAUAUUUUUUUUCAUUUUACAUUUUUUUUGGUGUAACCAACUCCAAAAGGUCUGAAUCUUGUUCCUUAAAACGUUUUGGACAGUGAUUUUAACCCUAACGCCAAAAACCUUAAACCUUUCCCUAGCCCCAAAACCUAAUACCUUCAGGAAGCCCGAAAACCCCCCAAAAUUUUUUUUCUUUUUUCUUUUUUUUUGGUCUAACUAACUCCAAAAGGUCUGAAACAUGUUCCUUAAAAAAUAUUGGACAGUGAUUUUAACCCUAUCGCCAAAAACCUUUAAAGUUACCCUAGCCCCAAAACCUAAUACCGGGUAUUACCUUCAGGAAGCCCGAAAACUAUCACUCGAAUCCCUGCAUGAGCAGAAUGGUGCCAGAUGGACCACCUGCUCCCACCACAAUCCUCUGUGACUUUUUGACUCUAUCCACUUUUAGAACUUAAAAUAGUAAUCAAUAAUCAACUGACCAACUCAGCUCAAACCAAACCCAAAACUCUGCCUAGAGAACUCUCACUUCCACGUUUACAUAUCUCUUUGUAUCUUGUGAGGACCGUGAGGAGAGCAGAGCCUAGACCUAGUCGGGUCAGGUGACUAUGUCCCUUGCUCACUCUCCUCACAUGGAUGGUGAGAGCUGGGGAGCUAUGGGAUGUUUCAUCCGCCACCAAAUCCCCCUCACCAAUCUUUAUUUUCCACCAUCUCCACCUCUCCCUUAAACCCCCCUCUCCCUCUUCCCUCUCUCUCUCUCUCUCUCUCUCUCUCUCUCUCUCUCUCUCUCUCUCUCUCUCUCUCUCACCCCCCCCCCUCUCUCUCUCUCUCUCCCUCAUCUCUCUCCCUCAUCUCUCCCCCUCUCUCUAACACCCCCCCUCUUUCUUAUUCCCUCCCCUGCCCCUUUAUUUUCACCUUCACAGAGGACAAAUAGGUGAUCUUCAGCCUCGGCCUACCCCGGCCGGGGGGUAACCCCUGUUGGGUCACCUAUAUUGAGGAUUAAGAGAGACCUGAAGGGGAACCGCCGUGCCACCUAAAUCCUCCCCCUCUAACAUCUUUUUUAACACUCUAAAAUUAGCCAGCUAACCCCACUACAAACAACUUCAUCAAAAAUUUAAAUAAUAAAUACUUAUUGAUAACUGACCAUCAGUGACACCAGACUAAGCUAGUAAAAAAGGACACACAUACAUGUGCAGAUUUUCCCUUAGGACAUUGAUCAAAUUUACAUUUCUGUCUGUCUUUUAGGGAACUGUUCUCUGUUUUUAAGCUCACUUCUGUUUUUUGCUAUUUGCUCUUGACACUUCUUUUUUUCCUUUUUUAUUCUCCUUUCCCUUUUGCAAUCCACUUUUGUUCUUCUUUUAUUUUUUAUUUUUUCAUUGUUUUAUAUUAUUUUAUUUUAUUUUAUUUUAUUUCAUUUUAGGGUUCCUGUGCUUUUGUUUGUCUUCCCCCCUCCCCUCUUUUUUCUUAGGAAGGACUGACUCCUGAGGUUCUCAUGCCAGGAAAAAUGUACCUCCCUCACUCACGGUUUUACCCACAAUCCUUUGCUGCAACAGGGAGAUUGAUUCCCAAGGCUCUCAUGGCAGAAAGGAAGUACCUCACUCACUCACGGUUUUACCCACAAUCCUUUGCUGUAACAGGAAGAUUGAUUCCUUGGGCUCUCAUCCCUCAGAACUAAAAUACCCACAAUCCCUUACGAUUGCAUACAAAUUUAAUGUAGCAAAACUAAAUUUAAAACAAAUAAACUACAUUAAAAUUAACUUAAAACAACUUGAAAGUUUAAAAUACAACCAAGAGACAUCCAUUCUGGAAUACAAACAUCGAGAAGAGAACACAACCAUGUCUGAGAGGAACAGCACAAACCAUUAAUCGAGCCCAACUCUGGGGAUGUCUUCUCCUGUCAAAAGCACAUUUAAGUGCUGUGCACUAAAGAGCAAUUCCUGUUGCUGUAAUUGAGACAAAGCACUGACCACUGGACCAAGAAGACCGACCACCGCCUCGAGGAAGACGCUGCGCCGCCACCUGAAAGAAGACGCCGCACCUCCAUCACUCCAAGCCGCCCACCACCGAGCUUCGACCCGCCGACGGCACCGAGUCCCAGCAAACCUUGCCGCGGAGCGCCUAUCUUCUUUCCCCCGCCGAGGACCCCGGACUUCAGACACACCGCUGCCGCCGCGGCUGGACAGCUGGAACCUUUUCCCCCCUCCAACAGAUUUUAGACUACUGGAAAAGAAACGCCUCACAUCAACAACAACAUAGGACCACUAGGGUAAGUCUACAAAAAACCUCUCAAACACCUCAAAAUUACUCUAAAUAGUUAGUUUUGUUUUUGAACUUGAGUUUGUGUCGUGUUUGAAGUUUGUGACAACUUAUGAACUUGAGUUUGUUUCGCUUGAUUUUUUGGCAAUUGUUGAACUUGAGUCUUUGGUUUUUAGUGAACUUUAGUUGGUGGCAAUUGUUGAACUUGAGUUUGUGGCGUUUGUUGAACUUGAGUUUGUGUUGUUUUUUAACUUGAGGUUUUGGCAAUUGUUAAUCUUUAGAUUUGGGUGUUGGUUGAACUUAAAACUUUGACAUUUGUUGAACUUGACUUUGUGGUGUUCAUUUAACUUGAGUUUGUGGUGUUUUUGGACUUGAAUUUUUGUGUUUUUUUUAACUUGAGUUUGUGGUGUUUUUGAACUUGAAUUUGUGUGUUUUUUGAACUUGAGGUUGUUGCAAUUUUUGAACUUGAGUUUGAAGAACUUGAGUUUUUGGCAAUUGUUAAAUGUGAGUUUAGGUCAUUUGUUGAAUUUGAAAUUUUGGCAUUUUUUGAACUUAAGAUUGUGGUGUUUGUUGAACUUGAGUUUGUGGCAAUUGUUGAACUUGAGUCUGUAUUUUUCCCUGAACUUUAGUUUGAAUUUUUGUGUGUUUUUUGAAUUUAAGUUUGUGGCAAUUGUUAAACUUGAGAUUUGGGUGUUGGUUGAACUUGAGUUUGUGGUGUUUUUGAACUUGAGUUUGUGUGUUUGUUUAACUUGAGUUUGUGGCGUGUUUUGACUUGAGUUUCUGUUGUUUUUGAACUUGAGGUUGUGGCAAUUGUCAAACUUGAGAUUUGGGAUUUGGUUGAACUUGAGUUUGUGUCAUGUUUGAACUUUGGUUUGUGGUGCUUUUUAACUUGAGUUUGUGGCGGUGUUGAGCUUGAGUUUGUGGCGUGUUUUAACCUGAAUUUUUGUUGUUUUUCUUACUUGAGGCUUCGGCAAUUGUUAAACUUUAGAUUUGGGUGUUGGUUGAACUUAAAACUUUGACAUUUGUUGAACUUAUGUAUGUGGUGUUCAUUGAACUUCAGUUUGUGUCUUGUUUGAACUUGACUUUGUGGUGUUUUUGAACUUGAGUUGGUGGUGUUUUUGAACUUGAGUUGGUGGAAAUUGUUGAACUUGAGAAUUGGGUGUUGGUUGAACUUGAGUUUCUGGUGUUUUUGAACUUGAGUUUGAGUUUGUUUGUUUGUUGAACUUGAGUUCGUGGCGUGUUUGAACUUGAGUUUGUGUUCUUUUUGAACUUGAGGUUGUGGAAAUUGUUAAACUCACCCUCCUCGAGCCAUCAUGAAGGCGGAGGUGGCGGGGGUAGAGCAGCAAUGAACAAAACCCCCCUGGAACAGGAGCGCUUUAAGGACAGCGGAGCAAUUAGCUGGCACGAGGGUGGAGCUGGUGUGGCAGUGUGUUGCUGGUUUGCUGUCAGAACAGAGGAAGAGGCUGGGUUAGUGCAGUUUUAAAUAAGGCACUCUAUAGGCAAAGAACCAAUAGGAUCUAGGUGUGAAUCAGCUGAUUAUCAUCUGGUUGAGGUGGCUACUAGCCAUUGGCUGUGGAUCAGCGCUUGACGUUGUGUCCUGACAGAACUAACGCUAUGCUUCAUUUCAGUCAGGUACACUUUGUCCAAAUUUUUAGCUUUAUUGUGCAAGUUAGAUUUGGCGGCAUGAUUCUGUUCCGGGUCCCUGCCCUUCCACGCGCUUGUGUGGAAGCCCAAGGCAGGAAGAGCCCCUUCCUGCCUUUCACGAGCCAUCAUGAAAGGCGAUAGCAGGGAGCGCACGCGAGGUUCUGUUCAGGGUCCCCGUUCUCCACGUUGGCAGGGGUGAAAGGCCAGCGGCAGGAAGAGCACCUUCCCGCCCUCCACGUGCCAUCAUGAAGGCGGGGGAGGCAGGGGUAGAGCAGCAAUGAACAGAACCCCCCCAAAACAACCAUGCCGUGCAGUCUAGGAGCUAGCAGGGGAGGUGAGCGCUGCUGAAAGAAAGACGGGUUAGAGAGACCCGUUGCCCAAGCAUGGAUAUUUAUCUGCAGGUUGUUUAUAUAUUUCAUUUAAUUAGCAUCUAUGUGCCAAAGUUAUGGGUACUCAUAGUUUUUGGGCUUCGAGAAUGUCCCGAGCCUCAGGGCGCAGAUAGCGUUUGUACGCAGCUGACGACUAUUGGCCCAUGGCUUUGAGGGUCGACACAGGAGCCGUCAUAGCUGUGGUUGUAGCUGCACCUAUGUGAAAGGAAUGAGCCGUGUAGCGAUCUGAAGGAUGUGUGGAGGGCGAUCAGCUAAGCUGUCAUCUGACUGAGGGCUAGCUUAAGAUCAGCUGGCUUUAACCUUUAGCUUGACUGUACCUUGUGUCCUGCCUGAACUACAGCCAUGCUUAAUUUCAGUCAGGACUACUUUAGUUAGAAUCAAUUAUUUAUUACUAGCAAAAAAUUUUUAACAUUGUCGGUAUGGCUCUGUUCUGAGAGUUCCCUGCUCUCUCAUGCGCUUGCAUAGAAUCCCAAGGCAAUGAGAGGGAAUGCCCUCCCCUCCCUUUCAUGUGCAUAUAUGAAAAGCCAAGGCAGAAAAAGCAGCAGCCAUACUGGCAACCCUCCCCAGCUUUCAUGAGCUACAUGAAGGCACCUACAGGGGAGGGAGGGCAGCCAGCAGCGAGAAACUAUGAAGCAACCUACCCACCUACAAAGCUUGCAUAGUAUUGGUUACCCUCACAACAUGAUCAUGGAUCAGGAUUAAUUUAAUCCAUACACAAAUUUAUAGUUGGGAAUAUGCGUAAUGCAAUAGAUAUGGGAAAGAAUUAAGGAGCAGCAGCAAUUUUUUUUUUUGUAGCUAAUCGAGCAUAGGAAUAUUCUAAUAAUAAUAAUAUAUUAGCCUUGGGCCUGAGGUAUCAUUCAAAGGCUGAUCGGGACCAUUGACCCGUAGCCUUGAGCGUCGAGACGGGGACGAUGGAAGAUGCAGUUGUAGCUGUGCCUAUGCGUGGUGAAUGCGUAGAGUUGUACUCAGGUAGGAGCCAACAGGAUUGGCAGAGCAGGCAGAGGUGAGCAGAAAGCUGCAAUCUGGAUAUAGGUUUCCCUUCUUCAGUGGCAAAGAGAGACUCUUGCUGGCUGGCCAGUGGCCGGCCUCUCAGGCAGCGGGACAUGGAGGAUAAAGAACAAAGACAGAGUUAGUUUUGGAAAUAUUAGAAAAAAAAGAAAAGUGCGAGAUUCAAAACUGUGGACUAUUAAAGCACAUACAAUGGAUAUAUUUAGGGCGUUGGGGCUACAGAGAAGGUGGUACAAAAGAGGUAAAGUGAGACCAUGCAGAAUCGUAUAAACUUUAAUGCUGAUUUUGCUUAACCAGCUCUCAAGUAGCUGUCAACAGAGAGCACUAAGGAUUGCAAGGCUGCACUCAGACUAACACAGUCUGAAUGAAUGGCUUCACGAACAGCCGUUGGGAUGCUUUGCCAGUGCCUUCCCCGGCUCAAGGACAUUUGACAGAGUAGACAGCUUUGUUCUUUCCCGUUUUACCAGGUGGGUGCGUCAUGGGCAUGCUGAUUUCAGAUGCCCGUCCCUGGAGUAACUUGGCUUCUCCGAGUAGUAGGCUUAGAGAGGCUUGGGUGGUUGGCAUGUAGCCACAGUUUUAGGGCACCGAUUAGAGGUGUGGGCAGGGGUGGACAAGGUAGGAUAAGGUUCCUCCAGGUACUGUACCCGUAGACUUUGUACAAGAGGAGCACACCCAAGUUAAGCGAGUUGCUGACUCCGAUGCCACAGUAUCAUCAUCUGCUGUAUCUCUCUCUUAAACAUAAAAUUAUUAUUAUUAUUAUUAUUAUUAUUAUUAUUAUUAUUAUUAUUUUCCUCUGCAUUUUGUCUUAUUUCUGCAUUAAGAUUGAAGCAGCUGACUCUUUAAAAGUUCCCUCCUUCUGCAAAAGGCGGAAGGCGGGCCCCUGCACCUAGGCAACCAGCGUCCAAUCAAAAGUGCGCACUGGUGCUCCCACUUGGAGUUUAUUUGUAAGCAAAUACCACUCACUCUCAAGCGGCAUGGUCCUAUUGGAUUACUUCGGUUAUAACGCAGAGUGCAGACUGAUGUGCAGCAACAGACUAAGCCUAGAUACAUGACAGGGGUGAAAACUUUAAACAGCUGAUUAUGUCUUCCCGAAAUGGCGUACUGCUGCGUAAUGGCUUACUUUCACCUCCAGGUGAGAGAAAGACCCGCAGAUUAAGCAGGAAAAAGCUUGAUGCUCGGUGAAUUGUUAACUGAUUAGAGCCAGGUCGACUACGGACUGAUCAAGUCUUUGGCUGAAUCUUUGAAUGUACUUAGCAGCUUUGCUGAAAAUGAUUUGUAAUGUUCCUAGAAUAAUGAUCCUCCCUAUGUCAUGGCUGAAUCAGAAAUAAUGGCGAGAUAUGUGUCCAGUUCAGUUCUGCGUGCUGAAAACACUUUACAUAUGACAUCUACAAAUACGCUGAAAGCUAUGAAUUCAGCCAAGGUCGGAGAUUUAAACAGCCGGGCAUCACGAUAUUUAAGCAUCACAGGCUCAUCUCCGCAAUCCACAAUGCGUCUAUCAUUGUAGUCUGAGCACAGCAAGACUAAUGUCAGUACCUGCAAGGAUUUGGCUCCGCGGAUUAGGUGUAAUUGCAGCCGCGACCAGGUCGCGUCGCGUGGUGCUCUGGUGUGUUCACACCGGGUCCAAAGCUGCGGUCGCAGGACACGGCUGGUCGCUGCUGACCCGCUUCUCCUACCUUCCAUCUCCCUCCUUUUCUCCCUCAUAUAUACAUCCCGCAGCCCAGUUCAAAUAUUUGAACUUUGGUAGCGACGAGACUUGGCGUCCUGCGACCUCGGAAACGCAACUUCGGCAACGCGACGCAGGUAGCCAGCGGUCGCCAAGUCGCGUCAGGUCGCGGCUGUCCAUAGACUUUGCAUUGGGAGCCAUCGCCGACGUCACCGAAGUCGCGUUUGGUCUGAACACCCCUUAACGCUAAGCUUCAUAUUUGGGUAUUGGUUGACUUGAGUUUCUGUGUUUGUUGAACUUGAGUUUGUGACAUGUUUGAACUUGAAUUUGUGGUGUUUUUGAACUUGAGUUUGUGUGUUUGUUGAACUUGAGUUUUAGGCGUGUUUGAACUUGAGUUUGUGUUGUUUUUGAACUUGAGGUUUUGGCAAAUGUUAAACUUGAGAUUUGGGUGUUGGUUGAACUUGAGUUUGUGUCGUAAUUGAACUUGAUUUUUUUGCAAUUUUUGAACUUGAGUUUGUUGAACUUGAGGUUGUGGAAAUUGUUAAACUUGAGAAUUGGGUAUUGAUUGAACUUGAGUUUGUGUGUUUGUUGAACUUGAGUUUGUCUCGUGUUUGAACUUGAGUUUCUGUUGUUUUUGAACUUGAGGUUGUGGCAAUUGUUAAACUUGAGAUUUGGGUGUUGGUUGAACUUGAGUUUGUGUCAUGUUUGAACUUGAGUUUGUGGUGUUUUUGAACUUGAGUAUGUGUGGUUUUUUAACUUAGUUUUGUGGCAAUUGUUAAAC